GUGCUCACUUCAGCAGCACAUAUGGUAAAACUGGAAUGAUCAGCCCCUGCGCAAGGCCAAUAUGCAAAUUUGUGAAGUAUUU
rnacentral:snRNA from 1 species